AGCUUAACUGACUGAGCCACCCCGGAGCCUCAAGGUCAAGAGUCAACUGAAAGAAAACUGACCAAGUAAAUGCUGAAUCCCUGUCUUAGGAACAUGCUGCAUUUCAGGGUCCUGUGACUUGCUUGCCGCAUGUCAGCAUGGCAGGUGGAGAGGCGGAGGCCCAGCGAGAUCCGGGCCACUUUAAGGCCAC